GUUUCAGGUAUUGUACCGGAGGAUUGGAGAAAGGCAGAUGUCAUUCUAAAAAGGGUUAAAAACCAUUGCCUGGAAAUUAUAAACCUGUGAGCUUAACUUCUGUGACUGGGUAAAUAUUUGAAGGGCUAUUAAGGGAUGAUAUUCAGGAAUUCAUUGGGAAGAACUUUGUUAUUAGCAACAAUCAGCAUGGUUUUAUCAAACAUAGGUCUUGCCAAACUAACCUGAUUGCAUUCUACGAAGAAGUAUGUAGACGUAUAGAUCAGGGUGUUGCAGUAGUACUUUUUUUGCAAGUUUCCCAACAAGGAUGACACCC